rnacentral:rRNA from 1 species
AUACGGAGGGUGCAAGCGUUAAUCGGAAUUACUGGGCGUAAAGCGCGCGUAGGCGGCUUGUUAAGUCGGAUGUGAAAGCCCCGGGCUCAACCUGGGAAUUGCAUUCGAUACUGCUUGACUAGAGUAUGGUAGAGGGAAGUGGAAUUUCCGGUGUAGCGGUGAAAUGCGUAGAUAUCGGAAGGAACACCAGUGGCGAAGGCGACUUCCUGGGCCAAUACUGACGCUAAGGUGCGAAAGCGUGGGGAGCAAACAGGAUUAGAAACCCCGGUAGUCC